GACUUCAGACAGCACUGUAUCCCAGCAUGCAUCUCUGCUCACUCAGACCACACCCCCGUGAGUAGGAUGCAACACUCUAGUGAUAGCGAUGUAGAGUUUUAUAAGUAACGAGGGAGCAGACUAAGGUGAUUAGAACCCAAUGCAAUGUCAAGUCUGUAAAUCUUUAAACCAUGAAGAUGGUUGGAUAGUUCAGGAAUUGGGCUUCUUUUUAUUAUGGGCAGUCCUUUCACUCAGAUGCCCACUUCUCACUGGAGCUGUACAUGUGUUGGCUGGCAUGAUUUGCUGUUGGUGAUGAGGCGGUCAGGGUGACGUUGCAGGGCUAUGGUCAGCUCUCUGUGAGCUCAACGUUUAGAUUUGCUCUGUAUUGUUUGUACCCUGAAUAAUCUAGAUAAUUGUAAAAUGUAGACACGGUUUUGUAUUGAAUGAUUUUAGGUUUAAAGUUGUUGUGGGACGUACAUGGUAGUUUGGUUCUUCGUAUGGUUUUGAUUGAUAUAACUUGUACACACUGGGUGCAUAAUAAUGUAAAUGUACACUGAAUAGUAGAAAUGACCAACAGCAACAAACAGAUCUCCUCAAGGUAAGUCUGUUGGCUGUAUUUUAAUGAAGACCAUCGCUGGACUUCAGGAUCUUCCUCCGUUCAGCUCAAGGUGAGGCGCUGGUUCUGUUUUUCUUUGGUUGGUUCCGGCCGGAAUGUUCGUAUUCCAGUCGGACGGUUUGUGCUUCCCGCCGUGGAAGGUUCUGAGUGCGGUCACGCGAUUUAGUCCCAAUGGUUGGCAUAGAACGUUGUAGUCUUGACAACCAUAAGAAACCACCUGGCAGUUAGUUGGACGGGAGUCCCCUGAGGGAAUCUGGCGGACUGUUUUGGAUUGUAUUUGCGUAACCUCGAGCCGUUGCCCAUUUUUCAGUCGGUUUCCAUUGGGAAUUGUUGCCCCUAUCUUAAACAAAUUAAGUUUGAUAUUAAAUACUUACUCACACGUACGUCGUACAAUAUGUUGAUAAUUUCCGAUGGUUGCGCCGUACUUUAACCACGAUGACGUGACGGGACUCUCACUGCGUACAAAACAGCGUUCUACUUGCGGGCCCAUUUUUUUACAUCAGGGAAGGCUGAAAAUCAUUUCAAGGUGGAAGAUAAUUUGACAUUUCUUCAACGGAACCCAGCACCUGAAUAUGGUUGAGUAUAUUUGAUUUAAAUAUCGAUACUGCUUAGUGUUCUUUGUUACUUCAGCUUUUGUAGGUUCUAAAUAUCUGCUGUCAUUAAUUGCCACAGAAGUUAAACCCUAUCCAAUGGAAUAACGUUAAACAACGACUUUGGUGCAGAGUUAACAACUGGAUAAUAUAAAAGCUAAAAUAAUGGCUAAGUCAUUCCCACGUUACAGUAGAAUAUACUUUAGAACUGUACAAGGUUAAAAAGGUAACAUGUAGUUUGUCCCAAGGUGUCUGCCUCCUCACCCAGAGCCAGACCUCCACCUCCUCACCCAGAGCCAGACCUCCACCUCCUCACCCAGAGCCAGACCUCCACCUCCUCACCCAGAGCCAGACCUCCACCUCCUGUCAGAAGUUCUCCAGAACAGCGGAAAGGCCUGGCUGAGAGGCUGGGGUCCGGAGGCUUGUGGUGCCAGGGUGGACCGGAGACUGAGGCUGGAGACCAGGGGCCUGCAGCACCGGACCAGAGGACCAGGACUCUGUCUGAGGAGAGCUGCUGGAGGAGCUGAGACGCUGGAGGACGACUAGGAAUCGACCAACAAGGAUUCCUCAGCGGAGGCGAGCUGGUAGGGGAGCCGUGAAUCUGGAGGAUGACCAUCACUCUACCAACAAGGAUUACCAGGACUCUGGCUGAGGAGAGCUGAUGGAGGAGCCAAGACUCGAGCCAAGAGGACGACAUCACUCCACCAACCAGGAUCCUCACCAGGAAUCUGGAGGACUGAUGGAGAAGCCGUACAUCUGGAAGGCAAAUCCUGAGGACCACCAGGACUCUACCAUCAAGGAUUCCUCAUAAGUUUGCAUUAUCUGGACAUAGUGGACUAGACCCACCUGAGCUGAACCUCACCUGAUCCUGUUUGGUCGGGGGUAGACACACCUGAGCUAAACCCGCCCUGAUCCUGACAUCCUGCUGGUCCCGUCUCCUCAGUUCAUCUAAGCCUCGUCCUCCAGAAGACCUGCUGAGCUCAGCAGUCUGAGGCUGAUGGAUCAAUGACCUCCAGUGGGAGUGAUCUUCUUGACCCCACAUGUAACCGUGUGCUUCCACACGCCUUUCCCUGACGUCUGUCACUAACCUCACUACUCUCUACUGCUUCCUCUUUUCUUCCUUCUCUGUGGUUCACACCGUUACACUGAAGGCGCGUCUUCCUGCCCUCAGAGGGUUUAGCGUUAGGGUUGAGAGUCAGGGUUUAGAGUCAGGGACAGAGCUGGUUAGGGAGGACUGCUUUUACACAAACCUCUUCACUUGCUUUUCGGAAUGGUGGUGACAUUUUGAAAAGAUUCAUUUGAGAAAAUGUUUUCCUCUGCUUUCCUUUACAAAAUUGUAUUAAACUUCUGUCAAGUGUUUUUGUUUAUAUAUUAAAAUCCCACAUUGACUUCUACAUGUUUGGUGCGGUUCAUUUCUUACUAGAACGUGUUUCUGGAGCGGAGGCGAGCUGGUAGGGGAGCCGUGACUCUGGAGGAUGACCAUCACUCUAACAACAAGACUUUAGGGCCAGACUCGCGCUGUUUGUUCCAGACCAGGACUCUGGCUGAGGAGAGCUGAUGGAGGAGCCAAGACUCGAGCCAAGAGGACGACAUCACUCCACCAACCAGGAUCCUCACCAGGAAUCUGGAGGACUGAUGGAGAAGCCGUACAUCUGGAAGGCAAAUCCUGAGGACCACCAGGACUCUACCAUCAAGGAUUCCUCAUAAGUUUGCAUUUUCUGGACAUAGUGGACUAGACGCACCUGAGCUGAACCUCACCUGAUCCUGUUUGGUCGAGGGUAGACACACCUGAGCUAAACCCGCCCUGAUCCUGACAUCCUGCUGGUCCCGUCUCCUCAGUUCAUCUAAGCCUCGUCCUCCAGAAGACCUGCUGAGCUCAGCAGUCUGAGGCUGAUGGAUCAAUGACCUCCAGUGGGAGUGAUCUUCUUGACCCCACAUGUAACCGUGUGCUUCCACACGCCUUUCCCUCACGUCUGUCACUAACCUCACUACUUCACUACUAUCUACUGCUUCCUCUUUUCUUCCUUCUCUGUG
ensembl:lncRNA